rnacentral:lncRNA from 1 species
GGCAGUUCAAUUUUUUUCACCAGUUCUCAUCUAGCAGUUCCCAUUUUAAAGUCCAAUCUCAUUGGCAAUAAAAAAUAAAGCCCUACAAAAAUCCAAGUACACAGUUGCAUUCCCACAUACAUCACAUGCAUGAGUUCAUGCAUUAUUUUCCUACCAAAGUAGGAAAAUUCAUAAAAAAACAAUCAUAUCAAUCAUCAGCAUAUCUAUGCAUAGCCUUAUACAAAAUAAAAAAACCAGUUGCA